rnacentral:rRNA from 1 species
UACGGAGGGAGCUAGCGUUGUUCGGAAUUACUGGGCGUAAAGCGCACGUAGGCGGCUUUGUAAGUCAGGGGUGAAAGCCUGGAGCUCAACUCCAGAACUGCCUUUGAGACUGCAUCGCUUGAAUCCGGGAGAGGUGAGUGGAAUUCCGAGUGUAGAGGUGAAAUUCGUAGAUAUUCGGAAGAACACCAGUGGCGAAGGCGGCUCACUGGACCGGUAUUGACGCUGAGGCGCGAAAGCGUGGGAAGCAAACAGGAUUAGAUACCCUGGUAGUCCACGCCGUAAACGAUGAGUGCUAAGUGUUGGGGGGUUUCCGCCCCUCAGUGCUGCAGCUAACGCAUUAAGCACUCCGCCUGGGGAGUACGGCCGCAAGGCUGAAACUC